CUUCUUAGUCAUUUUGUUUUUUGAGAUGGGGUCUUGCUCUGUCAUCCAGGCUGGAGUGUGGAUGUCAUGAUCACAGCUCACUGCAGCCUCAACCUUCCAGAUUCAAGUGAUCCUCCUGCCUCAGCCUCUUGAGUAGCUGGGACUACAGGCCCAUGCCACCAUGCCUCGCUAAUUUUUGUUUUUUUUUUUAAUUUCUUUUUUUGUUUUACACAGAGUCUCCCUACAGUGCCCAGGCUGGUCUCGAACUCCUGGGCUCAAGUGACCCUCUUGCCUUGGCCUCCCCAAAGUGCUGGGGUUACAGGCAUGAGCCACCGCACCCAGCCAUCUUAUUUGUUUAAAGCUAGGCCUUGUAUAACACAAGAACUAUUAUUUUAAUGUUCUAAAAUAUAAACCAUUCUAGGAAGAUGGGGUGUUGGUCUUUUAUCAAUUGCAGCCCUCAUGAACCAUGUGACUGACGGACUACUCUGGCAGACACAGCCAGAUUGUCACAAACUCCUCCCUAAAAAUUCUGCAAGGGAAGUCAAGGUCUCUCGUUAUUCAGGGUUGGCACGCCCACCUGACACUAUGGGGUUAGAGCGUGUAAGACAGGCUAGUGGUUAUAGAUCACCUCUGUGUGCUGGUACGUUUUCAGAAAAGCUUAUCAGGAAGCAAAUGGGUGAGAGGGGUGCUGUUUUAGGGAUAAGCCAGACACGUCUCUAAAUCAGCAAAUAAUCAGCAAACGUCUGCCUCUUUUGGAUUGAUGCUAUUAUCUGUGUCCACAAGAUGUCAAUCUCCUACCCCAUCUCCUUUUUUUUCUUCCAGAGACACGGUCUCACUCUGUCACCCAGGCUGGAGUGCAGUGGUGCAAUCAUAGCUCACUGCAGCUUCAAAUUCCUGGCCUCAACUCAUCCUAGGACUCAAAUGAAGCUAGGACUAUAGGCACACAGCACCAUCACAGGCUUUUUUUUUUUUAAGAGGGAGAUGGGGUCUUGCUAUGUUGUUGCUCAGGCUGGCCUUGAAUACCUGGCCUCAAGGAAUCCUCCUGCCACAGCCCCCUAAAGUACUGGGAUUACAGGCAUGAGCCAGGACAUGUGGCCCACAAGAUGCCAAUCUCAUGAUUCAGCUUAGUGACAUUAGUAAAUUGCUUCUGACACCCUUCACCCAGGGGUGCAUGACCACCCCCAGAUGGAAACAGCGUUGUGAAGAUACUCAAUAGCAGAGUCUGCCACUGACAAUCUUCAAGCCUCUCCAUCCUUUCUGCGAAGGCCCAGUUUGCCUUUACACCCACCACAGUCACUGGGCCACAGUGUGGUGGGCCACAGGGGCUGGAUGACGGAACAAGGCCUCCUGGACGCCACCUGAACGGUUGUGCACAUGGUCUGAGAUAUGGCGAACCUCGUGGUUUCUUACUCUUGUGAUGCAUUGCAGCUGGAAUGCUCUCAUCUAAACAACCCAUCCCCACUGCAAAUGUGCUGCAGUGAAUCCUUUAGGGGUGGGUUUUCCCAAAGCCAUCUCCUGGAGAUCCUGAGACAUCGGUGCUUCUCUCAAACUACCCACAGGAGGGCAGUGUGCGUUCCAGAGCAGCAACUUCCUAGGAACAGAGAGGCUUGCAUCUCGGCCUCUUUAAUCAGGAAGACACCCAUGAAGCAGGGACUCCAGUGACAGACUCUGGAGCCAAUGUGCCAAAACCCACCUCCACCACUUACCAGCUCUGGGACCUCCUACAGGUCACUGAAUCUGUUUUCUCAUCUAUACAAUGGACAAUG